rnacentral:lncRNA from 1 species
ACAGAGAACAGUGGAUAAGAUUCUACUAAGUUCCCUAGCACCCAUCAGUCAUCCUGUGCUGAGCUGUCCCCGUGUGAGAAUCCUGGUUCUGCAUUGGAAAGACUGCUGGCUCCAUGCUGGUCUUCUUCCUGCUCCUCUGUGUUCCUGAGGAAGAAAGACUAUCAUGUAAAUGCACCUAUGAACAUAUGCAUGUGUGCAUGUGUGUACAUGUGUGUGUUCAUGUGUGUAUGUGCAUGUGUGUGAAUGUAUACAUGUGUGGUCAUACAGAUGAGUGUGUGCAUAUGUGUACAUGUAUAUGCAUGUGCAUGUAUGUGCAUUCAUGUGUGCAAGCACACGUGUGCCAGUGCUUAAUUCUUGGUGACCCUACCCAUAUGGAUAUGUUCAUGCAUGGGUUCAAUUAUUUUUUAAUGUUAGUUCUGGGGUUCAGACUCAAGUCCUCAUCCUUAAAAGUAGAUCAAUGUGGGGCUGGGGAUUUAGCUCAGUGGUAGAGCGCUUACCUAGGAAGCGCAAGGCCCUGGGUUCGGUCCCCAGCUCCGAAAAAAAGAACCAAAAAAAAAAAAAGUAGAUCAAUGUACGAAUCUCACAAAGAAUUGACACAAUUCAGAAAAGUGUCCCUUAGUGCAAAUGGUGCAGGUCUCAUCUCUUUCCCAGGUGUUUGCAGAAUAAACACCUCCUUAUCUCUC